UUUUUUUUUUAGAAAAAUCCAAGGGUGUUUGUGGUCUUGUUGGAAGGUAUGGUUGAGCUAGCUAGUUCAAGUAAGGUUACUGCAGGUUCUUUGGUACUGCUGCAGGCAACUGAUUUUUCUGUUUUGUUAAUGCCCCAAAAACCUGUUUUCAAACCCUGCUCUUAACUGUUGUUUGUGAUGGCAAGGCAUGGUAUAGGGUUGUGGCAUUGUGCAGCCAGUAGUUCUCAAAAAAUGACUGGAAAAUGUGAUCCACAAAAUCUGCUUUGUGAUGUGGUGAAAGCAUGGUUGUGGAAGUAUGGUGUGGAAUGGUGUAAUUGUACUUUUACUCUCCAAUUUUUAGGCAAUUAGGACAUGGCCAUAUGUACCAUUGAUUUUUGGCUGCAUAAUGAGGCUCUAAGGACAGAAGAAAGGCUGCAUAAUUGCUGUCCUUUUGAGGUACAAGGCAAGGCAUGGACAAGCAUGGUGCAAUGGUACUUUUCUUACAAUUCAAGCAACCAAACAAGAUUCACAUGUUCUGCAUAAUUUGACCUUGCAAACACCUUCUAAAUGACAUUUAUGAGCUGUUCCAAUUGGCCAAAUGCUG
rnacentral:lncRNA from 1 species